CUGAAAACACCGGUUCUCGUUCGAGUUCGAUCACCGAAGUUAAGCAUCGUAGAGCCAGGUCAGUACUUAGAUGGGGGACCGCUUGGGAACACCUGGUACUGUAAG